rnacentral:rRNA from 1 species
UGAGUAACCUGCCCUCAGCUUUGGGGUAACCCUCGGAAACGGUGGCUAAUACCGGGUAUUCACUUCCUGCGGCAUCGUGGGUUGUGGAAAGUUUUUCGGCUGGGGAUGGGCUCGCGGCCUAUCAGCUUGUUGGUGGGGUAAUGGCCUACCAAGGCGGCGACGGGUAGCCGGCCUGAGAGGGCGACCGGCCACACUGGGACUGAGACACGGCCCAGACUCCUACGGGAGGCA